rnacentral:rRNA from 1 species
GAUGAACGCUGGCGGCGUGCCUAAUACAUGCAAGUCGAGCGAACAGACGAGGAGCUUGCUCCUCUGACGUUAGCGGCGGACGGGUGAGUAACACGUGGAUAACCUACCUAUAAGACUGGGAUAACUUCGGGAAACCGGAGCUAAUACCGGAGAAUAUAUUGAACCGCAUGGUUCAAUAGUGAAAGACGGUUUUGCUGUCACUUAUAGAUGGAUCCGCGCCGCAUUAGCUAGUUGGUGAGGUAACGGCUUACCAAGGCAACGAUGCGUAGCCGACCUGAGAGGGUGAUCGGCCACACUGGAACUGAGACACGGUCCAGACUCCUACGGGAGGCAGCAGUAGGGAAUGUUCCGCAAUAGGCGAAAGCCUGACGCAGCAACGCCGCGUGAGUGAUGAAGGUCUUCGGAUCGUAAAACUCUGUUAUUAGGGAAGAACAAAUGUGUAAGUAACUAUGCACGUCUUGACGGUACCUAAUCAGAAAGCCACGGCUAACUACGUG